CGCACAUUGCGCCCUUUGGUAUUCCGAGGGGCAUGCCUGUUCGAGCGUCAUUUAAACCAUCAAGCUCUGCUUGGCCUUGGAUCUGGGCCACACGGUGCCCAGUCCAAAACCCAUAGUGGCGUUCCCGUCGAGCCUUAAGCGUAGCACGAAUUGCUCCCUCGCUUCAAAGGUCUCGGGUGGGACCAGCCCCAAAAGUUAGCAUAAAGUUUGACCUCGGAUCAGGUAGGGAUACCCGCUGAACUUAA
rnacentral:misc_RNA from 1 species